GCAAGAUCAGAUCGUCUCUCUGACGGCUUUCUACGAGAAAUACUUCGCGGACAUAAGACGCGGGGAAGAGCGCAAGUCCAUUAUCAGGCUCCAAGCCUUGCAAAGCAUUCCCAAGGGCUGCGUGGAAGUUGGAAGCAAAAAAGCUGCACCACGACGCAUCGAGCCCGUCAGCAAGGUACCCGUUCUCGUGAAUGGCCCAGCGUAUCCCGCCAUACCGACAGACAGCAGGCAGUCUCCAGCAAUACCUACUCCGUCGCACUUCCGGAUGGGGUGACCUUAUUCAGCGUUUACUAUUAACUAUAUACGAAUAGUUUGUGUAUUAAAGUGCACCGUUACAUUUACCAACAG